CAGCUCCAUAUUUACAUGUGUUCAGCAUACGUUACCAUGGUGAUUUAACCAGACCAGAAAACCGUCACAGACUAGCCAGGACAUCAAUGUCGAGCUCCAAACAGCAAGUCAGAGAAAAUGAGCCAACAGCUUCAUCAAACUGAUUAUUGAUCCAGAGAGUCAGUUUGAGUUGAUCCAGCUUAGACUCAGACAUUUCUCUCAGUCUGAUCCUGACACUCUGACACUUUCCAACGUCUACUUAACUUCUGCUGCAGGGAAAAUUUUAAAAUGUAAAUUUGUAAAUAUGGUUAAUUUCCCUUUUGUGUUUUCGUGAUGUCUAGUUUUUUUUUGUAUAAAAUAUAACAAAUGGCAAUCAAUGUAGAGAUUCAAGGGAUUGAAAGGUGUAAUAAUUUUCAGUUUCAAUUCAGUUAUGGUUAAUAAAUAAGGACAAAGGUAACACACUGUUGCAGUUACCAAUGGUAUUUUUGUUUUGUAUAUUUUGUAGCCUUUACGGUGUGAUCACAAACGAGUCUGUUCCAUCGAAGGUUCAUCACUUGAGAGACCGUCUUUUCAACCUGGGAUGCUGUGCUCAUUGCUUUGGUUUAACCCUUUCACAAAUAGCGGUCACUACAGUGGACAGCUAUUCAAAGGCUGUUUUCUUAUAUGGUAUUCUUCAACAUAAACCAUUGGUCACUGAUGUGUCACUCCAUACGGCAGGGUUAUACUUGUUUUGUGUGUGUGUGUGUGUGUGUGUGUGUGUGUGAGAGACGUAAACUUGAUAGAGUGCAUAAAAUGUUGGAUAAUUUUGCAUGCAUGUCUAGCUAAUCAUCCUGAAUGCUAACACACUGUUAAUUUUUACAGAAAGUCAAAUUUAAAUAAAUUUAUGUGCCAUGUAGUCAUUAAAGAGUGAACAUGACAAACUGAACGAGUACAUGUAAAUAAUAAAAGCAGAACACAUUGAACACAUUCAGACAGCUAUAUGAGCUGAAAUUGUGGUCAUUAAUAUUUUGCAUAGUUGUGAACUGAGUUUUGUAACCUUGUAAACCGAAAUAUCCAAAAAUUUUAUGUUUGUGCAUCUCCAGAUAAAAAUUUGUGUAUGUAACAAUAUUUACACAAGUUACAAUUAAAUUCUUAAGGUCCGGUUACAGAUACAUAAAACUAAAUGCAUAAAAUGCAUAAAACUAC
ensembl:lncRNA